UACAGAGAUUUAUCAAAGAAAUGAAUCAGAGAAUUCUAGAUAAAUAUGGAAUCUUUCUCCAUUUAUUUUGUUCCUGAAGAAGAAUUUAAUUUUCCAUUGUGCGUCAAAUUUUCUGUAUAAGUAAUAACUUUUCAGAAUUUAUUCACCUUUUAAAGCAACCCACAUGUUGGAAAACAUUGUAGCACAGAACUGUUACGAACAAACUUACUCGUGACAAAUCACCGCAAUCAUCUUCGCGCGUAAGCAACCAAUCCCACGAAGCAAUUCACAUCACAAAGAACGAAAACGUAAUGGUGCGUUUUCAAAGAAGAAGA